AUUUCCCCACGUCUCCUGGUAUUAGUUCCUGGUUUGUUCCUUAAUGUGAAUGAAAACCAUUUUGAGCAGACGGAAGAGCAAUACCGGAAGGCUGGGAUUCUGAGUUUCACCUAGAACGGAGAAGCCAGGACUUGGGAUUUUCCCCUCAAUCACCAUGCUGUGCUGAUGUGAGGAGCUCUGGGAAAUUAACCAACUGGCGGAGAAGCAACUGAUCUGAAUGCAUGGGGGAAAAAACCCAGUUGCUCAAGCCUGUCAAAAUGUAUAUUGAAAAAUUUUCAUCAACUCGCUUUGAAACAUACUCUCUAACCUAAACCCAGUGUCAGUGGACUGUGGCAGGUGUUCCACAUGGUAGUUUAAGAAUGUCUGUGGGAGACAUGGAAGUAAUUCAAACAAAAGAGGGCCUUUUUUUUUUUUUUUUUUUUUUGGUCAAUAGAGGGGAUGGUGGAUACAUUUCGCGCAGAGUCAACAUUUGUGUUGAGUUUGAACUGUGGAUGGGAAUGGGAUAGACGAUUAGUGUUCGUGUCCAGGUUUGGAUUGGGCCCCAGGGACCUGACUGAACCAGAGGCAAUUGACUGAAUUCAGAUGCCACAAUUAGGCUGGGAAAAAUCCAAGAGGAAUACAUUUUUUUUCCCCAGAUGACCUGAGACACUUGUCUAUGCUUGAAUUUCCCUGUUGAUCUCAGUAUGUGUGUCUUUUUCUUUAAAGCUGAUGAGUGGAAUAACCAGACAACACUAAAGUUAAGAAGUUUCUCACAUAUCCACUGUAUAUUUUUCUAAAAACUCUGCCCAUAUUUCUUUUCAUCACAUAUAUUUAUCACACAUAAUGGAGGGUUUUUCCAUCUAAAAAACAUAGUGACUCAUUUUGCUAAUCAAUAUUAAUUCAUACAUGUAUGGUUUAGAUAGAUAUGAAUUUUUCAAUGUACAUUUGGUUUUAAGUAGAAUAAGGAUUUUUUUUUACCCAUUCAGAUAUUUCUAGGAGAGCAAGUAAAAACAGGAACAUAGAUAGAUGUAAGUAAAUGGUAGAGAACAAGUAUGAGACCUGCCCUUAGAGAGAUAAACAUCUAAUAAUGUGUGAACAGAUUUCAACUGAUAUCAGAAAGGCUGUGAACAACAUUGGUUUUGUUUCAUCAUUUGAGGGAAAGAAUAAGAGAAGAGAGAACAGUGUCUUCUUUUUCUCCCGCUUGGUUGGGAGACUGUCAUCAACAUUGGCUUUAAUCCUGGAUAAUCAACUUUUCUAGCAAUUGAAUGCAAGGAAGUUGGGUUUGUUAGCGAUUUGAACAAUUUCCAAAUGAAAAUCAACUUAGUUUUUUCUAUUUCCUGACAUAUUGGCAAAUCAUUUUUAUGAGCCCUUAUGUGAUUCAUUGAGCCAUUUGGGGAGGGUCAGAGGGCAAGAGUGCCAUUUACCAGAGCAGGUUUAAGCUGGGGAAGGCGAGGUCAGAGGGGAAGAGAGACCCUCAUUACUCUGGGAGGUUCUGGGGGCCAGCUCUGAGCCUGCCCAACUGUGUUAGGCUCACACUGGGUGUUUGUUAGCACAAAGCACCGAACUGCAGGUGUUCUGUGCUCUAACAGAGUCCUCAAAGAUCAGCCUCAAAUGUUUCUGUUACUAUGAAGAGGAUUAAAAGGAUUUAAAAACCUAGCAGGCCUGUCCAAAUGCUAGCAUAUUUGCCAACAUUUGCCAAGAGGGAGGAAAACAGGAUAGGCCGUAUCAGCUACGAGGCUUGGUAGUUGGGGGAAACAUACUUUUCAGGUUUCUUUUUCCCCCCUUUCUCUCCUUUUUUUAAUAGCCUGAAUGUGGAACUGUAGCACUUUCAACUGGAACUCGUUAAGAAUUCAUGGAGCAGAAAAUGUAAAGGGUUCUGGAAACAGGGACUUUGAAAGGCCAGAAGUGAGCUAUAAAUAAACUGCUGUUGAUACUCAUUUUUUUUUUCUGGUGGUUAAAUACACUUAUUACACCAGAAUGCCCACGUGGAAUAAACCAGGUGAUUUUGACCUGAAAACCCAAUUUACAUGGAGGGGCACGUUGACAUUUAUGGACUUACUUACCACGUAGAGGUAUCAUAACAGCCAUUACACAUUCUUGAAAAGCACUUUGGCUAUCCUGUAUGGCUUGUCCAUAUUGACAGCCAUCACCUGCAAGUGAAAGUAUGAGGGUCAGGCAUCUGGAAUCCUUGUUAAAGCACCAAUGUUACUGCUUAUCGUUAAUGGAUUUUACCAUCAAAUUCCAAUUUCUUUGCUUUCAGCUUUGCCCUACCUUUAGUGGUUCUGGUUCCUCUAUACAACACACUGAUUUUUCAGUGAGGUCCAGUGAAGAGGCUGAGAACUGAGUUAGCUGUGUGACCUUGGGUAAGUCAGAUAGCUUCUCUGAGCUUAGCUUCCUCACUGAUCAAGUUGGAGUAAUAAUAAAUUGCUCUAUCCUCCUCAUAAGAUGUGGCAUUUUUAAAUAGGGGUGAGGCUGACACCAAAGACUUCCUUGCAUGUGUUUAUAGAUAAUAUGUGAAGGUACGUGCAUACACACACCCACAUA